rnacentral:rRNA from 1 species
UCAAUGUGGGGGAUCACUUAGUCCUUAAAUCGAUGAAAAACAUAGUAAUUUGUGGAAAAUGAUGUGAGUUGUGAAAUUUUGUGAGCAUUGUGUUUUUGAAUGAAAAUUUCAGCAUGGAUGCAUGCGUGUCUAUG